rnacentral:lncRNA from 1 species
GUCUGCCAAAGUGCUUGGAUUACUGGUGUGAGCCACCACACCCGGCCAACACCAGCAAUUUCUAUCAUUAGUAGGAGCAAUGAUACUAACAGACUGGCUUACAGGACCGAAUUUUAAAGUAAUCCCCAUAGGCUUCAGUGCAUUUCAAGGCCAGGUACGUGCCAUUCUAAACAACAAGGGCAGCAACUGGGCCAAAUGGAAAGAGUGUGGGUUGAUGGGACUCACUUUCACACUUGAUUCUAUGUACCAUCUUGCAUUUACCUAUACUUGAUCCUGUGUUUUCAGGGAUCUAUCACAACCCCACUGUGAUAAAGGAUGAAAGGAUGGAGAACACAGAUAUGGGAUGGUUUGUAUUAGGUUGGUGCAAAAGUAACUGACAUUACUUUCAAUGGCAAAAACUGCAAUUACUUUUGCUCCAACCUACUAUGUCUUGAAAGCAUUGGGGAGAACCCAGGGUUGCCAAAUUGCAUGAGUUCAGGAAGCUUCAUUCCUUCAGGAAGUUUCCUCUAGGGGGCACCACUCACAGAGCUCCGCACUAUGACCCCAUCCUGGAGUUGGGCCAUCCGGUAGCCGUCCCAACCCAUAGGCUACUGUGCAAGAGCUGAGAAGCCUGCCUGAGAAAACAAACUUCCUGCAUCAGAGCACCAGAAAGCCAAACACUUGAUCUCUAACACCUGUGUUCACUGUGAGAAAAUUUACAACGAGAAGAGAAAGGGCAGCCACAUAGACAUUUCUGGAUCGAUUUCUUUAAAAGUCAUCCCUUUCGUGGCCAUCAAGGAGUCCCAAGACUCCCUCUAAGUUUUCUCUAAUAUCUGUUAAAUCCUUUCCAAAAAAGAAAAAAAAAAACCCAUCAGAAUUAUCUAGGCCUCAGCAUGCUCCUUCCCUUCUAAUUCUUGGCAGUACUAUAAGACAGGCAUUAUAAGGGAACGAUUAAGAAAACAGAUGUAACCAUUAGGCACCAUACAAUUCUAGAGGAUUAAUAAUGUUAACUUUUGCAACACAUAGGUGGUUUUUUGGUGUUUGUUCUUAUAAUGUCCUAUUUACAUCACAUAUUUAAACUUGAGAGCAUAUUAGAAUGAGUUGGGUACAACCUCCUUUUGUUUCUUCACUCUCACAGCUGUUUGAAUGCCUGCUUGUGUGAGGCACUGUGCUAAAUGCGGCGGGGGGUAAAAUGGUGAGGACAAAGCAAAGGAGUCUGUGCUCUCCUGGAGCCCAGAGUCUAGCGUGGUUUAGUUUGGGCUUCCUCACAACAUGGUGGCUUUCAAGCAGACGGACUCCAAAAGCAAGAUUCCCAGCGAACAAGGAGAAAGCUGCAUGGCCUUUUAUGACCUCAUCUCAGAAGUCACACAUCAUUCUACUGGUUACGAGUGAGUCCUUGAUCCACUGAGAUCCAAGAGGAUGAGACAAAGUCCCCAUAUCUCAAUGAAAGAUCGUCAAGGUCACACUGAAGAAGACCAUGUGGGAUGGGAGAGAGACAUAGUGGUCACAUUUGAGAAAGGCCAUCUGACAGAUGGGAGAAGCUGAAAGGGCUGCAGUAAGCAAAUACACUUUGGACGAAAAUUUUUCUUAAGAUCUAUCUUUAGUACACAGAUUUCUAUGAAUUAGCUCCAGUUAUAUUUAUUUUCAACCUUGUCAUUACAGAAGUAACAUAUUUCAAAACACUUGACAGUUUACAAAGUACUCUUAAUUGAUCAUCAUAAUAAGCCUGCUAAUUAUUAGGACAAAAUAUUAUCACCCACACUGUUUAGACAAGAAAACUAAGACCCAAAUUCUCAUAGCCAAAAAAGGAGCAUGUUCAGGAUCUGAGUCCAGAAUUAACUGUUCUUUCUACAGAAACAAACCAUCUAUUGAAACAUGCCAUGGCAAUGAAAAAUCACAAUUUAUGGUCUGAUGGUCUUUGUAUCCUUUUUAGGAUAUAAAGCAUUUGAAUGGUCUAUGGCUUUGAGUGUUAGCUUCAUCAUUUAUAUGAGAAUAUGAAACAGCCAUUGUUGUAAAUAGCAUCCAUUAUGGACUGAACAUAAAGACUAUUUCCAAAUUGCUUCCAACAUUUUUUGUCCUAUCUCUGCAAAUAAUUAAGGGUUAGCAACUUUAAAAUUAAUUCUAGUAGAAGAGCUAUGCAUCUGGCUUAAUGGGCACAAUAAAUCAAUCCCAUGAGAUAAAAUCUAUUUUAAGAACUCUUCUGAAAAGGUGCUAUUUCAAAGAAGGCAUUGUAUUAUUUUCUCUCUCUUUGGAGCAGCAGUCCAAGCUCUCAUAUUCCAACCUCUGAGCAACUUUUAGCAUCAACUGUGAACAUGUUAGAAGUACAAAAAAGCAUAAUCUCAGGCCCCAUAUUCCAGGUCUACUGCCAUGAAUUGAAUGGUGGCUCCCUAAAAGAUACCUCUAUGUCCUUAUCCCUGGAACCUGUGCAUGAAUCUUAUUUGGAAAAUAAGUGGGGGUGUGUCUUUGCAGAUGUAAUGAAGAAUCUCAAGAUGAGAUGAGACCAUCCUGGAUUAUCUAGGAAGGUCCUAAAUCCAAUAGCAAAUGUCUUUGUAACAGAAAGGCAGAGGGACAUUUGAGAAAGAGAAGAGGAGGAGGCCACGUAAAAACAAAGGCAGAGAUGAAAAUGAUGCAGCUGAGGCCAUGGAAUCCCUGGAGCCACCAGGAGCUGGAAGAGGCAAGGAAGGAUCCUCCCCUGGAGCCUUUAAAGGGAGCAUGCCUUGGCAACACCUUGAUUUUGGCUUCUGGCUUCCAGAAGCUAGAGAAUAAGUUUCUGUUGCUUUAAACAUCAACAUUACAGUGAUUUGUUAUGGCAGCCCUAGGAAAUUAAUAUACCUAACUGAGUUAGAAACCAGGGUAGUACGCCUAGCAAUGAGUACUUAAACAAAUCCUCCUGGGGAUUCUGCUGUACACUCAAGCUUCGGAUACACUGGUCUAGAGUAAUUGAAUUGUGGCUGGCUGAAGACAUGGGUAUUUUUUCCCCAGGACAGCAGAAGCCUCCCCUGCACCUGCAAAUAGACCAGUGCAGGCAUUGAACAUCUGGGGCAAGACUAGCGUCUCCCAGCAGGUAAGUAAAUUGUUCCAGGUCAGUUCUCUAUAGCUUUCUCUCUGGGGGAUUUCUUCAUUUAUAACAAAUGUUUCUUUAGCUCUAUGAAUAUGGACAGGGCAAACUGCCAGGCACUGCAGUUACAAGUAGGACAAAGAUUAGAUUCUUGCCAUCAAGAGUUCUGCCAAGUCCUGGGAGAAACAGGACAAGGAGAUACAGAGAUAAACAACUCCAUCUUUACUUUCACAUAGGCAUAAUGUCUUUGAAACACACUCCGAUAACUUAUCAAAUAAGCAACUCUUCAAGCUACAAAUGUAUCUCUAACUCAAUUCCUCCUAAGUAUUGGGGUGAUAUCAGAUCAACACCAGCACGCUCUCCUUGCUAAAAUACACGAUGCUGUUUUCCAGUGAAUAAUGCGUCUUUCUUCUCUCCCCCAUGCUCAUCUUCCUUACAGAUUAGUCUGCAUAUCAAGAACAACUAGACCUUAUAAAAGUCACAACAGAGCAGAGGGAUGGUCACCUGUAAAUGCACACUUUCUAGUAUUUUCUCAAAUUAGAGCAUCUGAGGGUAUCUUCAGAGAAAUCAAAUGCACCAAGACAAAAACGUAUGACCUGAAACUGGUCCCGAGGAAACAUCAGAUGGACCACGUUGAGCAUCACACUGCAGAAUGUAGGGCUGCAUUCUUCCAAACUGUUGGGACGAUGAAAGUCAGGGAAAGACUGAGGAAAUGCUCCAAACUGGGGCAGACUGCAAAGAUGUGACAAUUAAAUGCAAUGUGUAACUCGGGGUUUCUGCACUUUAGCUCUUUCAAGAUUUUUGACUGGAUAAUUCUUGGGGUCUGUCUUGCACACUGCACGGUGUCUGGCAUCAUCUCUGGUGUCUAAGCCCUAGAUGUCAAUACCAAUUCCCACUUGUGUGAUCAAAUGUCUCCAGACAUUACCAAAUGUACCAUGGGUGGGGUCAGAGGGGAGUGCAAAGUCAGCUCCAGAUGAGAACCAUUGGUGUAACUGGAUGGAAUCCUGGGCCAGAUAUGAAAAAGAGACAUCACUAGGACAGCUGGACAGAUCUGAGGUUAAUGAAGAUUUCUCACUGUUGCAGAAGGUAUUUUUAAGAAGGGAAAGGUAGGAGGGCUAGAAAAACCCUGAACGGGGUGUGGAGAUUGGACAUUGCAUCAAUGUAUUGAUGCACUGGGUUUUGUUUCAGUGCUCAUUUCUUGACUUGUGGGUUUGCAUGGUGGUUAUGCAGGAGGGUGUACUUGGGGAGGCAGAUAUGAUGGAGCACUGAGGGUUGAAGGGACAUCACAUAGAUACAUACAUAGGGAGAUAGAGUGUACGCAGUGAAAUGUGAAUAGCUGGGGAUCAGCAUGAGGGGGUAUGGAAGUUCUUUGUUCUGUUCGUGCAACUUUUCUGUACAUUUAAAAUAACCCCAGAAUAAAAUAUUUCCAUUAAUUUACCUGAUUAAAUUGUACUUGUGGAUUUAUUUGCACAACCAAUUAAGGAUGAUGGUGGAAAUGGUGGAGAUGCAGAUGAUGCUAGUAUUGGUCAAUGUUCAUUUUUGUCUUCAUUAUGUGCCAGGCAGCAAGCUAAGUACUUUAUGGCUAUUAGUCAGUGCUGUCCUCAAAUCAUCCCUAUGGUGGAGGAAUUAGUAUCCUUCUACUAUAGAUGAAGAAACAGAAGUUCUGAGAAGGUAGGUGACUUACUCACAACCACACAAUAAGUAGCUGGUAGAGUUGGGGUGGAAGCCCAUUCACAUUGGAUUAUGGGACCCAUGCUCUAAGCCGUUAGGUCAUAAGGGAGACUUUUUCGUCGUUCCUGUGUCCACAGAGGUGGAGGAUGAACUAGGCCCUCGGUAAGUGAGGGAAGGAGUGCACAGGCAGAGCUCUGCACAGAAUGACAGCAAGGUGCACAAGUCAUCCAUAUGAUUUUAUACUUGUGAAUUCAAGUAUAAGGAGCAACUUGUUAGACUUCAGUCUGUCUCUAAAAGCCAAAUAUAGGGUGGCAAUGGCUGCAUUCAGUUGAAAAAUACCCUGGAUCUAGUAAAGGAAGGAAGGUGUUUAUCCUCUUGGUACUUUUUUUUUUUUAAUCCCUAAUUUCAGGCAUGUGCAGCUUUGGUUUGGAAUGAUUUGACUCAGAUAGACAAGUGGUGGGUUUAGGUGAGCUUUUUUAGGUGAGAGUGGUUGGAAUUAUAGAGGUGAUAUGGGAGAAGGUGAUGUGAAGGGUAAUUGCUGCUUAAUAAUUGGGAAGAGAAAGUCUGUAAAGAGCUUAUCAUUUAAUGUGUUCAAGACUUGAGAUCCAGAAGAACUGCAUCCCAGGGCUUUGAGGGUUCUUGCUGAUGCGAUCUCGGUGCUAAAAAAUCAUGAACAUGGAUAGGGAACGCACAACACUGAAAGUCACUGUUGGCUUAAGUCAGAGAGGUUUGGAACUCUUAAUGCACAGGCAGGAGAAGCCAGAUGUCAGAAAUCCAGGAAGACAUGAAGGGGCAGGGAAAGGGGGAGUCCACGAUUUCUGGGAAAAUUUCAGGCAGUUAGGAACUGGUGGAGGCUAAAGAGAUGUGCUCACUCCAGAUGGCAAGGAGGGAACAUCAACUUUAGAAAUUAGAAAAAGGUACAUUUGCUAAAAUGUGAAAAAAGCAAGCAACUAUUAAAUAGGUAGUUGUUACCAUCUAUUGAGGACACAAUGAAAUAAUAAGCAUGAAGUACUUAGCAUGUUUCCUGGAACAAGAAAGCAAUAAUUGCAGAAUUUAUUAAAACUUUAA